UGUGGUGGCGAUAGCAAGAAGGAUACACCUGUUCCCAUGCCGAACACAGUAGUUAAGCUUCUUAGCGCCGAUGGUAGUUGGGGGGUUCCCCCUGUGAGAGUAGGACGUUGCCACGC
rnacentral:rRNA from 1 species